rnacentral:sRNA from 1 species
AGUUAAUUGAAGAAUUGGGAUCAUGGACAGUGACUUCUACUCUCGGAGAAUGGAAUGAAACAUCAUGGUCUCUUCAGAAAGCUCUAGAGAAAAGUCACUCUCUGUGGGGGAAAAGUUUCUGGUCAAUAAGUGUUUCCAAAGAUGUCACAAACGGAACUCGUUAUAUUUUAUACUUAAGACAGAAUGGAAUUAUUAAUUCUAAUCCAAACAAUUAUAAUGAUACGGAACUGAAAGAAAAGUUUCUGAAUAAGACUGUCUCCAAUGCGGCCAUCUUAGGAGGAGAAGAAGAGAGAGCUCGAGACAAAAUGGAAGAAGUUUUUGAGCUGCACUUUAAUUUGUCGAAGAUAUUUGUUCCUACAAAUGAGCGAGAGAAUCCUUUAAAUCUUGUCAACAAAAUGACUUUGAGAGAAUUUCAGAACCUACUAGGA